UUUCUCUCACUUUCCAUUUCUCUCUUCUUCCUCUCUUUCUUCUUCACAUGCCUGAGAGAGACCGAAAAUGAGAGCUUCUGAGAGAGAGAAAACUUGCAGAGAUUGAGAGAGUGAUCGCUGAGAGUUCGUGAGGGAGAUGGAGAGGCCGUGAUGCAGACAACCCGUGAGAGAAGAACCAGGAACCCGUAGCAGAUCCGACCGACUGGAGUGUUGGGUUUGGCGGAUCGCCGGUGGGUCGACCCCUGUGGAGCGUGGGUCACGAUUUCCGGCGACUCUGUGACGAAUUUCGGCGGUUUCUCCGGUGGAUUUCUCUGCUGUUCAACAGGGAAUUCCUAAGGAUAUGCUCCAGCAACAGUUUCUCUGCCAAGCUUCACGUAGUCGGUGCCAUCAAGAACUACAUUAGUAAUUGCAGUUUCUGCACCACACGGGUCUGCAGAAACUGCAGUUUCUACAGAAUGCAGUAAAACGAGCAAACGCGGUGGUCAAACAGAGGACGUGGAACGCCAACCACCCAGUCGGUCACAACGUGUCUCAUGCAUGUCCUGUUCUUGAUAUUGGUUUGCUACCUAGAAUUGGCAACGUGGACGUCCAGCAAUAUCACAUGCGUCGUGGGGGUCUCUUUCCAGUCUAUGCGUGCCAUAACAAGGUUUGGUGCCAACAGUAAACCUGCAGAAGAUGUGACCAAUCUAACGGCCUAUAGGAUGUUGCCGUUCGGUGCCGGGAGGAGAACGGAUUAUAGUUAUUUAUACAUGUCAAUUUUUGGAAGUGGAGGAUUUUAAAAAUUAUCAUCAUACAAUAUGAUGUUCAUAUGAGUUGGAAACAACCUAAAAACGAAGUGAUAUGCAUUAUAAAUUUGCAAGGAUGCCCUCUUUGGCUCUUUGAUAUAGUUAGUGUCUGGAAAAACAACACAACCAGUUUAAUUACUUUAAGUUGUUUUUCUUAUUAGCAAACUGAAGGCAAGGUCUUACAGGUCACGGCGUGCCUUUUUUCCCAACAUGGCAUGCGCAUGGUCGUGAUCGCCGACAUCCAAGGCCAACUGGGUCACCAAGUAGCCACAUCCAUUGGGUCAUUGUUCUUGAGCUUGACUUUUCACAGUUUGGCCUAUUCACCCAAACCACCCAAGAAGUUCGUCAAACUAUUCCAGAGAAUAACUGAGGCCUCACCACCGUAAAAUCGUCUACGUAGUCUUAGAAGUGCAAUACCGAGGUAGAGAUGAAGAACAAGUUCAUCAACCACGCGCGCAAUGUCUGGGACCGUGCGGUGUCGCUCUUGCCGAGAAUGAACCAGCUUUGGUACAAGUACAUAUACAUGGAGGAGAUGCUCGGCAACGUCGCUGGAGCCAGACAAGUGUUAAAGCUCUGACCAAGUCUCCGCUUUCUGUCCCAAAUGCAAGAGACCUUUGAGCUGCGUUUGUUUUGGAGGUCUGUAACGAUGGCUUGGUGAACGACGACGCGCGGUUCUAAGUAUAUCAGAGAAGGUAUAUGCGUUAAAAGUUACUAUGGGGUGAAACUCACCGUUUUGAGCAUGGAUAAUUUUGAAAAGCUGGCCUUUAAGUGGUCAUGUGAGCUGCACGUGACCUCUUUUUUUGUCAUUUUUGACAGACCAAGUGGACGGAAGGUUUUAAGUGCCAAAGUUGGUUAUAUCGGGGGGGUUAUCUAUC